rnacentral:miRNA from 1 species
UAAGUGUUGCAAAAUAGUCAUU